AUGGCCUGGGCCCCUCUGCUCCUCACGCUGCUCACUUACUGCUCAGGGGUCAGUUCGCAGCCCGUGGUGACUCAGGAGCCCUCGAUGUCGGUGACCCCAGGAGGGGCUAUCACUCUGUCCUGCAGCCUGAGCCCUGGAGCCAUCACCACCGGCAGCUAUCCAGCCUGGUUCCAGCAGAAACCAGGCUCUGCUCCUCGGACACUUAUAUACAGCACCAAUAGCAGACCCUCCGGGAUCCCUGCCCGGUUCUCUGGGUCCAUAUCCGGUAACAAUGCUGCCCUGACCAUCACCGGUGUCCAGGCAGAGGAUGAGGCUGACUAUUACUGUAUUCUGUGGACUGGUCGUGUGAAUCACAGUGAUCCAGCCAGAUGUGGAACUGAGACAAAAACCUCCCCAGUCUUCCUCCCCUCCAGCCUGGCCUCUGCACUGGCUGCACAGUUUGGUUCCUGCCUGCAAUAUGAGUAGGGCCCUACUAAAUUGACGGCCAUGAAAAACGGAUUGUGGACUGUGAAAAUCUGGUCUUGCCCCUAUGAAAUCUGGUCUUUUGUGUGCUUUUACCUUAUACUAUACAGAUUUCACAGGGGAGACCAGCGUUUCUCACACUGGGGGUCCUGACUCAAAAGGGAGAUAUAGGAGGGCUCACAAGGUUACUUUGGGGGGUCGGGGUAUUGCCACACUUACUUCUGCGCUGCCUUCAGAGCUGAGUGGCUGGAGAGCAGCAGCUGUUGGCCGGGCGCCCAGCUCUGAAAGAAGCACCCUCCCACCAGCAGU